UGUUCAAGUUCUCUCUCUCUCAAAAUAAGUAAGUAAGUAAGUAAGUAAAUAAAUAAAUAAAUAAAUAAAUAAAAAUAAAUAUCUAUUAUGGCUAGAUACUUCACCAUGUGCUAGGAAAUUUACGUGCUCUACUUCAUUGCUCAGAGCCAUCAUAUGUGAUAGGUUAUCAUCACUCUCCUUUCAUUUCUGAUGAUUAAAGCUUUAAGGAGACAAGGGAUAAAUAGAUGGGGAGCCAAGUUUCUUCUCUAGGUGUCCCUACAAAGACCACUCUUUUUUUUGACUACAACCUUUGGGAAGGGCAUUUAUAUAGAAAGCCACUGUAUGGUUUUCCAGCAGUGUGGCAGAGUUCUUAUACUAUCAGUUUCCUAGUUUAUUAGUAAUGACAACUUAGGUACUAAAGAGAUUCUAGUGUAGUAAUUGAAUACAGUUAUUCUUGCUGAGUUUAUCCAGUGUUGAUCUAAUCUAUUCCACAACUUUCUCUUCUAUGCAGCACCUUAGUUUAUAAUUUCCACUGCUAGGAUUUGAAGCAUCAGUAGUUGAGGGGAAGAAUUAAAGAGAACACUGAAAUUGUUUUAAUUCCUAAUUGUUACUAUAUUUUAUCACCCUAAGCAAUACAGAGAUAUAAAACUGCUAAGUUAAUAAUGAUUUUUGGUUUAAUAAUGUAGCUCUAUAUUAGUAGGCCUUAAGCAUAACUAAGACAAUGGGAUGAUCAUAUUCUGAUGGACAGUGGCAAGGAGCAGAACAUUGUAAGUGGACUGAGUACUGGUCCUGAGGUGCAAACACUGUGGGUGUUUGGAUGCCUUUUGUUUGGAUCAUGUCUUGUGAUUCAACUUUGCCACAACUGAGUUAUUUUCCACACCGUAUCACUAACAUUGCAUCUUACGUCAUGUACAACUGUGACAGGUGGCUACGUCUAAUGUUAUAUCUAACAUCAGAAAAAUAUAACCAAGAGUUAGUGAGAGUUAACAUGAGCUUUUUUUUUUAAACUGUUCUGACUAUCUUAGGUGUCAUUGUAAUGUUUGUAUAAACCCACAAUUUUUCUCAUGUUCUCCAAGUUGAAUAAGUUCACAAAAGCACUUUAGCGGCAACACAAUCAGAGUCUAAGUAUAUCAUUGAUGGUAGCUAUCCUUACAAUUAGAUUCAGGGGUCAAGGAGAAUAGAUAGAGUUAGUAAAUAACCAUUUAACAGCUUAAUUUAUUUAUUCUACCCAUGACUUUUAGAUUAGCCACAGGCAAGUCUGUCUUUUGGCCCUGGCCAAGCUUAGUUGACCCUGCUACCAUCCUGUUAACUAGGCAGAAUUUGAGAAAAGUGGUGCCUAUAAAUUCUUUAAGAUGUCUUGAUUAUGGGGCAUCCAGAAUCUUAAUUGCCAUCUAGGAUGGCUCAUAUUUCCUCUGUGGUAAAUGAUAACUAUACAGCAGAUCACAUGGCCUGUUUUCCUGGUGAAGGAAGAAAUACAUUAAUAUGUUCAUUGGUUCAAUGGGUAUUUAUUAAAAACCUCCCCAGUACCAGGUGCUGAGUAGUAGUGAAUAAGACAAACAUGGUCCCUGCCCUCAUGGAGCAGACAGUAUAGUGGAGGAGACACUGUACACGAUUACAACAGUAUGUGAGGAGCUGUGCACUAGAAUUUAGGUGUUUUACAAGCUUAACUAUGACCUUGAUCUAAUUUAGAGUAAAGAAAGAUGACCCUAAGAAAGUGACAUUUGGAUUAGAGAUAGGCAGUGAGAACAGCAUAUUCCAGCCAAAAGCAUGGCAGGUUCUGAAGGACUAACAGCUACUUAGUGUGACUGUAAAUGGGAAUGAAACCUCAGCAGUGAAGUAGGCAUAGGCUACAUAGUGAGAAUCUUUUAAGUUAAGCUGUUUAGACUUGGUUAAUAAGGGUGAUGAGAAAUUAAGCUAUAGUGUUGUGAUCAGGUUUAUGUUUUAUGAGUAUCACUUCAAGAAAGAUUACUCUGAGGGCUGUGUGGAUGGUAAAUGGGUUGAAUAGGAGUAAGAUCAGUGGCAAAGAGGCUGGUUAGAGGGCUGUUUCAGCAGUUUGUCAGAUAUGAUGAUGAUUUGGGGGGACAGUAGAGUUGGAGAUAAAUGGUUAUUAAAGUGAUAUUGAGGAGGCCGAUUGACAACACUGGGUCACUAAUUAGAAGAGACAGAAAACUUAAAGAGAUCCUUCAAUUAAUGAUUUGGGUUCCAUUGGGUAGACACUUAAGCAACAUAGGGGAAACAUUUAGGUAGGGAGAGAGCAAAGGACAUGAGUUCACUUGUGAAAAGGAGGCAUUGGAGGGCUUAUGAGAUAUCAAGCAGGCUGUUGUUUAUCAGACAAUUAUAUCAGCAAGUCCGAACAGCCCCAGAACUGGACUGGACAGAAAGAUGGGAGGGUGACCAGUGCAUGGAUGCUAUAUGAAGUUUGCAAGUCAGCGUAGUUACUUGAAGUGCAUAGAAUGAAAAAAACAGAGGGCUUAUUACUGAUCCCCAGAGAAGUAUUGACAUUGAAAGGGUCUUUUUCAAAGUGAUGAUUUAAAGAUAAUAUUAGGUGAAAGCAUCUUAAAAAUGUUUUUAAGGAAAAGAGGAAGGCAUGUGAGCCUGAGAGUUUCCUUUCUUUUUCACAACUGAUUUGUGAUUUCCUUCCACCUCAAGUGAAGUCAUACAUAUUCCAAAUCAGAGUCUCUUUUGUUGUGGUUAAAUUGAUUCUUGAACACAAACCAUUCUAAAACAUGCAAUGAAAAAAAAAUGGAGAAUAAAGGAAAACCAAAGCAUCAAAUUAUCCAUGGCUAAAACUUUUUGAAUUUAGCGCAUAAUCAAAGCAACCAUAAAAGGCAGUGUUGCCAACAUUCAGUGAUGACCAAAGAAGGACUUUACUUCUUUUCCCCCUUUUUACCACUGAUUUCCAAUAUCUUAACAUUUUUUAAAUCCUUUAGAGAUUCAGAUCUCUUUGUAUUAUCUCUCCCAUCUUGAUCUCACAGGUGUGUGGCAGAAACCAAGAAUAAUGGCUCCCAACUUGUUCUUUAACUGCUUGUAAAAGACCUUUGACUAAAUGGCAAAGCCACUCUUCUUUUUUAUGUGGACAAAUCCAUGUCCACAAAACCUUGAUUUUUGGUAUGAUUACAGCGGAACUCUUCCUUCUUUUUAAACACAUGGUGGACCUAUUCCUUAUCCUGAUAUAUCAUCCAACUUUGUUUCUGUUUUCCCCUCUGGGGAAGAUAAUGUGGUUUACAUUCUUUUAGAAGUCUUGGACACCAAGAAUGUUGAGGUCAGCCCAACUGGGGAAGUGAAGGAAAGAAUGUCAGUUAACCCAGUGGUGAAACCUCAGGAGUGUGCUUUGUAAAGGCCAUUUUCUCCCUGUUUUUCUUUUUACCCCUUUGUAUAUUAACCACAAAUAACCACCAGCCUUUAAGUCAGCUUCACAAGAAGCCACCAACAAAUGUUUAAAGCAUCUCAACAAGGUUUUCAAGAAAGUCCUGAAUAAAAUUGUGUUUGUAUGAUGACCAGUAUAUUAGCUUUCUUUUUUUACCCACUGUUCCCUGUUGAUGCAAAAAUUUACUGAAAGUUCAAAUUUUAAGAAAUCAGGAAAUGUAGCGGAAGCAAUGGUGUUGUUUUUCUAAAGUAACUUAACUUUAAAUGAAACAAAUGAAUGCUUAGUCAGAUAGAAAGAUCAAGGAAUGAGAGACUUCCAUGCCCUCCAAAGUAAUUGGACAUUAGUGUGCUUUAGGGGCAACUCUCACUAAGUAUAGAGAAAUAUCUAUUUCUAAAAAUCUAGAAAACAUUUAAAAAAUUUCCUUGGAUUUAAGUCCUUAUGCAAUUUGGGAAGAAGGGAAACAAAAGCCCAAUGCAGAAGACUAACAUUGAUGAUGUGGAUGUUGUUCCCAGCAGAUUUUAGUGGCUUUUUUUUUUCAGUAAACACAUGGGGACUUACUCAACAUUAUAUUAAUGAUCUUAUUUGGAUUUGGGCAAAGCACACAAAUAUACUCACAUAUACACACAUAUGUGAAAGUCCUUUCUUUUCCUUUAGGAGAUAUUUUUAAGGCUAUCCAACAAAGAUUGUAAAUAACAUGUAAUUAACUAGCAUAGGAUGGUAUGAGAAAGAAUGAUGCAGGAUUCCGAGUAUUUUUAUAGAGGGAUCUGCUCCUUAGACACCUGGCCUUUCUUUUGAGGCAUAUUUCCAUGUACUAUGUCACUUGUUUUAAAAUUCCUUUGUUAUUCAUGCCUUAGAGAUUUUCAUGAGUUCACAGAUUGUGCCUGGGUGUGUAAGUUAGUGUGAAGAUAGUUAAGUAAAGGAGUAGACAAAGGGAAAGCAAAGUAAUUCACUUGAAAUCCAGAGACCUUUACAAUGCUGAAAAGUAAGUAAAAGCAGAUGUUGCAAAGUUUAGAAAAUCGAGACAUUAUUUUCCUGUUUCCAUUGAAUUUUUUCUAAACACAUUAUAAAUAAGCUUUGAAGUAAUACAAAGUCCUCUGUUUGUUUUGCUGAUAGCAUCUUUUGUGAAAAACUUUAUCAACGCUUGUUUAAGUUAUAGACUAAAUGAUAUCUCAGUUGGUGAAAGAACUGACUGUAUCUGCUGGCAAAUACAAUGCUACAAUGCUGAAAUUAUUUACAAUGUCUGAGUCACUUAGAUAUCUCUUUGAUUAGAUCUUUGGGGUUUAAUGUUUACCAGCUCAAAUAUUUUAUACUAUGAGAAUUCAAAUAUGGAACCCCAAUAUUUCAUUAUUCACGUAUUUUAAAUUUAAUCUUAUAUUUUAUGAAGACUUGAUGUUCCUCUACAAUGGAGAGAAUUUGGUUUGUUAAUCUUUGGAAUUAUUCUGAAAAGAGUAGCCUACAAAUUUGAAAAUAAGGCUAUCUAUGCUCCUUUCUUCCCUUCCCCCCAUCCUCUAAUGCAGACUCCUAUUAAACUUCUAAAAGUCUUACAAUGUGGUCUCUAGAUAUUAAGGCUAUUUCAAAUGAACAGUCAUUCUUCAGAUUUGCUUCUAAAACUUAAUAUCUAAAAAAGCCCAGGGGAGAGUUGAUUGUCAGAGCAAGGUGUUUGCUAGCUCAGGGAAGCUCUAGGACAGGUGCCCAUCCUCACAUGCUCCCACUGGCCCUCAUCAUUUGGAGUCACUGAAUGUCUUCCAGCUGUUAGAGAAUGUCCCAGGCUCAAAACUGCAUCCCUGCUGAGGAUAUUUUUAGGGUCUAAGCCAAUUCUAAAAAUGAUUGGCUGCUAAAAUAUGGAACGAGGGAAAUCAGUUCCUAUCAACAACAUAAACCAUCAUCUGUCUGUUAUUACAUUCAUUCAGCUGGGUCACAUAUGACUCAAUAAUCAAAUUACCACCCUAUAUAUCUUAAAUCUGCAUGUUCAUUUGACCACCAUGUGGACAUGGGAAAACAGAGAUAAUCUAGCUGUCUUCUCUUUAUUUUAUUUCUUUUAAAUAUGUCUUUUUUUCUGCAUCUAUAAGUAAAAUGCUUAUAAAAAUUUGAAAAUUAUAUAAUAUAGAAAGAUGUAUUGUUAUGAAUAGUUUUGUAUGUAUCAAUUACUUCUUAAUCAUUAAUGUGAUUUUCUGUUGUUAAUACUGUACUAAUACAACUGCGGCCUUUUAAAAUUAAUUUCAGUGAAAAAUUAGCUGGAUCUAUCAAAAAAAUCUUCAAAGGUAGAUAAAAUUUAAGUGAGGAAAAUAAAGCAAUCUUUUUUGUUAUUUAUUUUUCAACUUCUUUCAAGAAGCAUUUGAAACAGCUUACAAUAAAAACUAGGGCAAAGGAAAAAUACAACUAAGAACUAUUUAUAAAGUGUAAAUGAGAAAAAGAAAGGAAUAAUUCAGAGAAGAGGGGAAAUGUUAAAAUCAAGGCAUGCUAGUGGUAGAAAGUUAUACCAUUUGAUAUAAAACACUGCACAAAUUUGCAAAGUGGUCUUCCCAGUUCUUACUGGGAAUCAAAAACAAAAACAAAACCAAACAAACACCAAAACCCAAUUCUUUUAAGAAGAAUUUGCAUAGGAAACCUUCAUCUGUUGUCAAAAUGUGUCCUGCCAGGUGCCUGUGCAGUUAACAAUGCCUGCGGCUUUCAGGCAGGGAAAGUGGCCACACAAAUUUCUGUUUCCAGGACCUAGUGUCAUGCUCUCCAGUAGAAGGCCCCAAACAAUAAAUGAUUAAGGCAGUGAGUGAAGGCAUGAGUGACACAGUUCUUAUUAGUAGUUUAUUUAUAAUACAUACGUAAUUGCUUCAUUGCCCAUUAACUUCAAGGGCAUAAUGUUCAGUUCAUUCACUUUUUAAAAACAAAUAUUAUUGAGUGCCUAGUGGCACAGUUUUAGGUGUUAUAAAUAUUAAAGUGUGUAAGACAGUUUGUAUCCUCAUAAAGCUUAUAAUCUAGUGGGGCAGAUAAGCAGAAAAAACAGCUAUAAUGUGGAAAAUCAAACAGGCAAAAGUUCAUGGUACUGUGAGAACCCGUAGGAAGAGUAGCUAACGCAAGGAAAUGGGAGAGUUGCGAUCAUUUAGGGGGAAGCAGCUCUGUAGAGUGUGUACAGAGAGACACGUUGUGGCGUGUAGCUUCCUUGUGAUUGAUCUGGCCUAAACUAGGGAUAAUACUUGGGCUCUGGCCUGAUCUUUUGACUAUCUGAUGUUUCAGGCUGGAUUUGAACCAUUAGCAGAAUGGUUAGAGGUCUUUUAAUUCUUGAAAAUUGAAGUUACUAGCAAGUAUCUGAGGAAGAAAUAUUCUGAGCUUUAGGCUGAAGGAAAGAUCCACGCCAAGCAUGAGGUAAUAUAAAUCUGAUGUAUCAAUCUGGUCAUGGCACAUUGGACAUGUGUCAUGGCACAUUGGACAUGGACAGCUGGACAUGGCACAUUGAAAAGGCAAAACUGAAGAGAGAUUAAUGGAAGAAUGAUUGACCAAAUUGUGCAGAUUUAAGGAACCAAUAAGAGAGAGUGCUCAUCCAGGACCAGGCAGCAAUAGGAAAACCAUUAUCAUCCCUGGCAGUAGCUGAAGCAGGAAGAGAAGGCUGCCUUAUAGGAGCUGUGGCCUUAACUAGCGGAAAACAGAAGCCAUGCCUGAUGAGGAGAGAGCUGGGAAAAUAAAUACUCAACCCUCUCUCCUCUUGCCCAUGAAUUCUUGGAGGUACCUCCCAUUGGUUGAACCCAACUGGAAGCCAGAAGGCAAAAGGGAAUAUUACAGUUGAUGCGGUCCUUAAAAAUCAGCCUCCUGGGAAGAAAGCCAGAUAGAAAAGGUGGAGAAGAGUGGAUCUAGAGAGGCAAACGAAGAAUAUCUAGCAUAGCGUUCCAUCAGUGGAAGGCUGUCCAAUUUCAUUUAAUAAAGGAUGUAAGUUAUGUGUUAUGAAAUAUAGAUAACAUUGGUUUCAAUUCUAGGAAAGAGACAACCUUUAUUGUAGGAAAACACAGGGUUGGUUUUUGUUUUGUUUUGCUUUGUUUGGUUUUUGUCAUAUUUGAGGUGUUUUAUUGUUGGCAGUGCUACAGAAAGGGUUAAAGAUUUAUCCAUUUGUAUUAAGUGGUGUCUAUGAAGUAAUAUUUCUUUCUUCUGUCUUUAUUUUCUAAAAUAAGGUACUGUCUGAUUUGGAUAGAGAUGAACUGGGGAGAUAAGGAGACUGAUUCUAGAAAGACUUAAAGAUGGAUUUCUGGGCCGCUUUCUGGGGAUUUUGUAUCUCCGGUGCACAAGGAGAUUUGUUUUUUGAUCUAGAAGAAAGUCAGGAGAUGAGUUGAACACUACAGAUGUGCUCUAAGAAGUGUAAAGAGCGGCGGCUGGUGGCUCAGUCGGUUGAGUGUCUGACUUCGGCUCAGGUCAUAAUCUCAUGGUUUGUGAGUUUGAGCCCUGUGUCGGGCUUGUGCUGACAGCUUAGUGCCUGGAGCCUGCUUUGGAUUCUGUGUCUCCUUCUCUCUCUGCCUCUUCCCUCCCUGCUCACACUCUGUCUCUGUCUCACUCAAAAAUAAAUAAAACAUUAAAAAAAAUUUUUUACGGCUAAAGAAAUGAUUAAGUUCUGUGGUCAACCAAAGAGUAAUGGGAUCCCAGGAGUCCACCCUGGGUUAUGCCCAAAUAAAACAGGUCAGCACUUUAUCUUCAACUGAUGCUGAGUGUGUAGGGGCAGAGCAUGUAACCUGGACAUUAAGAGAGGCUGUUGGCUUCAGGAAUGAUGCUGGGAGAAAACAUGAAUAGCAAGGACAGGCAGGACCAGGUGAAUCUAGGAAUCAAGCUCAAGAGUGAUAUCUUGUCCCACUAAUGGGUCAAAUAAAUGUAUGUAGUUUUUAUUAUUGUUGUUAUUUUUUGGCAUUUAAAGGUGUUGAAUCUGGUGGUGACUGAUACCUACAAAUGCAAGUGUGGGUGAAAGGACUACUUUCUAAGCAGUUUUUUUAAGCUUGCGAGACAGUUUCCUGAUUUCUUGUUUUAAGUGAUGUUUUCAGAAUUGAUUCUUCUUAUGACUCUUUCUCUUUGGUUUGUAGCCCAGCUUGUCUCCUAUUUCUGAUCUGGUGUGGGAGGCUAUUGAUAGUGGUACCAUUUCCAAACUUCUUCACUAAUUUGAAGCUGCCUUUGGACAGCCUGAGAAUAUCUGGGAAGCAGAGCAUGGGGCCUGGAUGAAGAGUGCUCUCUAAAUUUUGGUUUUAUUUGAGAAAAAUGAGAAUGAAAAUACUACAUUUCAAAGAUUUCAAGAGCCUUUUUUUGGAAGAGGCCUUCUCCUGGAAAGACUGAUGUGACAGCUUGUCCAGUGAGGAAGGCAGCCCAGGAUUAAGAGGCUUCUCUCCUCUAUUCCAAUUACCACACGGCUAUCAGAGUGACCUUUCUCCUGUGGAAAAUCCUUUGAGGACUCCCCAUUGCCGAACCAGCCAUGCUAUUCCAAGCCUGCACGUCAUCACAUAUUCCUGCUGCCCCAUCAUCAUCAGGUAGUCUUUUAUAGUAGAUAUUUUGACAUUAAGAAUUGAGAUUAAAAUGUUUUUUCAAAAAGCUAUUUUAAAGAAUAAUUACAGAGGGCCUUGAUUCAUAGAAUGAGAAUAAAGAGGUGAAUGAUAAAGUUCCUUUCCUCAUGAAGCUUACCUGCUACUGGAGGUAUAUUAAAAAGGUAAACACACACACAAAAGUGAUUCAGAUGGUGCUAAAUUCAAUGAAAAAAAGAUGAAAUAGGGAAAUUUACAGAUAGUAACUGGGGUUUAGGGGACAGUUAUUUUAGAGGGAGAAGCCUAACAGGUAGAUAUUCUGUGGUAUUGUCUGAAAUAAGAUCAAUAUUCUUAACAUACCUGGUACAUAAGUAUAGCAGACCUGAUUUUUGUUUGGAAAACUAAGCUUCUGAUUUGCCUUAUGCCCAGAGGGUGGGCCACUCAAACUUCUUACUGGUAGAAGUUGCAGGUUAAUAUUUUUGUGGGAAGCUACCUUGGAUCUGGGGACUACUUGAUUACCACUUCAGGUUUGCAGUUUUGAGUACUGGCAAGGAAGAAGUGACUUCGGCUUGGAAAAUGUGGAGGACGAGCCAGAUUUGCCAUCUACUUCUACCUAAAUGAAUUAAUUCUGAUAAAGCUGCCUGCUUGUGCUUCCAAGACUCAGGACAACCAUUAGAAUAUAUGGUACUGUUUUGCUCUCUUAGAAAAAGGUGCCUCUCAAGGGUGAUAAAUUAGAAGAUUCCAAGGCACUUCUGCACUUAGCAGAAGGAAAGCUGGCUUUCAGCUGCCACUUGCUUUCUUUGUUAUGAAUCUUUGUGCAGCUCAACUCUGUGUUACAUCCUCAGUUAAUUACAUGGAGCUACUUACCAUAUACCUGAGUAUACAUUAAAGAUGCUUAAUUUACUAGGAGAAGCAGUGUUUCUAGAGGAUAUUAUUUUUGAAAAACUUCAUUUAAGGUGCACUUUGUUUUUCUACCGUUCUUAUGUAUUUUUGCACUAAUAUUAUAAAUGAUUUUGAAUACGCUUCACAUUACAGGCAAAGUAAUCCUGCCUAAUAGCUCUUGGACUAUUUAUUUCGUAUGGCAGCCAAUCCAUGUUUCUGUUAGACAGUUAUAAAAAUUAUAUUAAUGUAAUGUUUUAAGCUUUAUGAAAAGAAUUAUAUAGUAUGUUUUACAUAGAUGUAAUUAGAUCAUAGAUUUAAUUAGAGCAAAGUCAAUCUACUGUAAUUAAUCUAGAUGUAUUACAAUCUAGAGCUGUGCUGUCCAAUAUAGUAGCCACUAGCCACCUGUGGUUAUUGAGCUGUUGCUCAUGCAAAUUGAGCUGUGCUAUAAGAGUAAAAUAAACAGGAUUUUAAAGACUUUAUACAAAAAAAGAAUGUAAAAUAUCUCCUUAAUAAUUUUCACUUAUGAAAUGAUAGUAUCUUGGAUACAUUGUAUUAAAUGUGAUAUGUUAUUAAAAUGCAUUUCCAUGCUUUUUUUAUUAUUAUGGCUACUAGAAAAUUACAAAUGACAUAUAUGACUCACGGUUGUAAUUCAUUAUAUAUCUAUUGCAGAACAUUGGUCUAAAGUGUGUACCUUUUAAUUAUUAUUUUAAUAAUUCUUGGAUCCUCUGUGAACUGUGAUGGCUCUCAAUCUUUUCUCAUUUGUGAUUUUUUUUUCCCUUGGCAAGAUUUACUGACUUGAUUUAUUCAGUUACUUUGUGUUGAAACACUCUGACACCUGGCAGGUUAUGGUAAUAGUUCUUAAUCAUGGUUGCUUUAUAAUCUUGUAUGGAGAUCAAAAAUGAACAAAGAUUGGGGUGUCUGGGUGGCUCAGUUGGUUAAGCGGCCGACUUCAGCUCAGGUCAUGAUCUCGCAGUCUGUGGAUUUGAGCCCUGCAUCGG